CUACGGGGGGCAGCAGUAGGGAAUAUUGGACAAUGGGCGAAAGCCUGAUCCAGCAACACCGCGUGCACGAUGACGGCCUUCGGGUUGUAAAGUGCUUUUAGAGGAGAUGAGAAAGGACAGUAUCCUCUGAAUAAGCCUCGGCGAACUACGUGCCAGCAGCCGCGGUAAAACGUAGGAGGCAAGCGUUAUCCGGAUUUAUUGGGCGUAAAGCGCGUGCAGGCGGUCUAGCAAGUUGGAUGUGAAAGCUCCCGGCUCAACUGGGAGAGGUCGUUCAAUACUGUUAGACUAGAGAAUAGGAGAGGGAGGUGGAAUUCCGGGUGUAGUGGUGAAAUGCGUAGAUAUCCGGAGGAACACCAGUGGCGAAAGCGGCCUCCUGGACUAUUUCUGACGCUAAGACGCGAAAGCUAGGGUAGCAAACGGGAUUAGAUACCCCCGUAGUC
rnacentral:rRNA from 1 species